CCUACGGGAGGCAGCAGUGGGGAAUAUUGCGCAAUGGGGGAAACCCUGACGCAGCAACGCCGCGUGAGUGAGGAAGGACUUCGGUCUGUAAAGCUCUGUUAAUGUGGAAAAAAUGGUAGUUGGUCUAAUAGGCCGAUUAUUUGAUGGUACACAUAGAGGAAGCACCGGCUAACUUCGUGCCAGCAGCCGCGGUAAUACGAAGGGUGCAAGCGUUGUUCGGAUUUAUUGGGCGUAAAGCGCGCGUAGGCGGACCUGUAAGUCAGAUGUGAAAUCUCGGGGCUCAACCUCGAAACUGCGUCUGAAACUGCAGGUCUAGAAUCUCGGAGGGGGAAGGGGAAUUUCGCAUGUAGGGGUAAAAUCCGUAGAUAUGCGAAGGAACACCAGAGGCGAAGGCGCCUUCCUGGACGAGUAUUGACGCUGAGGCGCGAAAGCGUGGGGAUCAAACAGGAUUAGAUACCCUGGUAGUCCACGCUGUAAACUAUGAACACUAGGUAUUGGAGGAUUUGACCCCUUCAGUGCCGUAGCUAACGCGUUAAGUGUUCCGCGUGGGAAGUCGGUCGCAAGUACUAAAACGUUAAAGGAAUUGACGGNGUGAGAGNGCCGACGGACGACGACGAGGGAGGAGG
rnacentral:rRNA from 1 species